rnacentral:pre_miRNA from 1 species
AUGUAGAGCAAUCUGCCUUUAAGUAGGGGUAAAUUACUCUAAAAGAAAUGAAUCCUAGAUAGUUUUCCCUUCAAGUCAAGUGUCUUGU